GUGGAUGCUGGAGGCCUGCAGGAGGACAGGGCACUGGGAAGUGCUUCCAUCGUCUUUGACAUAGCUCCACCUAGCGGGCAGCUGUGUUUACUACUACUUCAUUCACCAAAUCUUGUUCAUGUGUCUGUCAAAGUCACUCAAGAACUACAAUCCAUCCGGUUUUUUACAUUUGAAGAAUAAAGACCCAAAUAAUUGAGACACAACAAAAACCCCUCAAAUUUCAUUGAGGGAUCACGAAUGAAGAUACUUAAAAUAUGCAUAAUUUAUGAAUUAUUGUUAUGACCUUCACAUAUUUUGAAUCUCAAAUCUGUUUAAAAUACGCUUCAUUGUUUUUGAUACACUGAUAAUCUUAUACUGUGCAGUAGAACGUGAUGUCAGUAAGAGAUUUCUACUUUCUAGUCAUUGAGUGGCAAUAAAAUCAAAGUGAAGAAUUUAUCUCCUAGCAUUGGAACCAAACACAGCCCAUUUCCAUCCUCCCCUUCAGCUUGGCACCCCAUGAUUCCUCCAGCAUAGGUUCUAUGCCCAUCACUCUGGGCUCAUAUUAGUAAAAUUAGUUUUGAUUUUAAAAAGUGAGUCAAAUUGAAAUUUGGGAAUUAAAAAAGUGACUCAAAAUGGGAAUUUUAUGACGCAUUCUGUGGUGUACAGAUGAAGUAUACUUUUUUUUAACCGAGAGAAAGAGAGAGAAUUGUAUAGAGAGAGUAAUAUUAAUGAAAUUAAGUAUACAGAUCAGGUUUUAUCUAAAAGACAAGGAAAACAUUGUAUUUAUUAACCACGGGUAAUUCUUCAUGUUUAUCAAUACUCAAGUUCAAAAUUUCUGAAACUACCGUUCCUUUGGAAAUUUCGGCUCAAUGUGAAAUAAAAACAUAUGUGGCAACAUUUCUGUCAUCAGUAAAUCUCAGUUCUCCCAGAAUGAAAUUAAAAUAUAAUUGGAUGAUGAAAGAGUCAGAUCCUGACUUGGACUAUUCUACCAGAUGCUGAAGUGAGUUUCCCCAUUGACUGAUUCAACCUCUCACCUGCUCUUAUGGGUCUGAGCCAUGGCCAGAUUGGAGUGGUUCUGUGAGUUGGGAGGAUCUCUCAGCCUAGACUGGCAAUCGUGGGCAGAAAUAGAAUGAGACCAACCGAUGUCAGCUACAGAUUGUCUAGUAGCUACAUUAAACAUGGUGAAAGGAAACAAGACAAAAAUCAUUGUAAUUGACCAAAUGGUACCACUUCAACAUGUAUUGAUUUAAAAAAUAUAUUGUUUUAAAAAUCUCAA